GACGAACGCUGGCGGCGUGCUUAACACAUGCAAGUCGAACGGGAAGGCCCUGCUUUUUUGGGGUGCUCGAGUUGCGAACGGGUAAGUAACACGUGAGUAACCUGCCCUUGACUUUGGGAUAACUUCAGGAAACCGGGGCUAAUACCGGAUAGGAGCUCCUGCUGCAUGGUGGGGGUUGGAAAGUUUCGGCGGUUGGGGAUGGACUCGCGGCUUAUCAGCUUGUUGGGUGGGUAGUGUCUUAGCAAGGCUUUGCCGGGUAGCCGGGCUGAUAUGGUGACCUGCCACACUGGGCUUGAGCUACGGCACAGACCAGUAUGGGAGGGAGCAGUGGGGUAGAUUGUAUUAUGGGCUGAAGGCUAACGCAGUACCGCAGCGCGGGGGAUGACGGCCUUCGGGUUGUAAAGUGAUUCUGCCUGUGACGAAGCGUGAGUGACGGUAAUGGGUAAAUAAGCACCGGCUAACUCCGUG
rnacentral:rRNA from 1 species